CUACGGGAGGCAGCAGUGGGGAAUCUUGCACAAUGGGGGAAACCCUGAUGCAGCGACGCCGCGUGAGCGAUGAAGCCCUUCGGGGUGUAAAGCUCUUUCGGCAGGGACGAAACAUGACGGUACCUGCAGAAGCAGCUGCGGCUAACUACGUGCCAGCAGCCGCGGUAAUACGUAGGCAGCAAGCGUUGUUCGGAGUUACUGGGCGUAAAGGGUGCGUAGGCGGUCCCUUAAGUUCGGUGUGAAAUCUCCCGGCUCAACUGGGAGGGUGCGCCGGAAACUGAGGGACUCGAGUGCGGGAGGGGAGAGCGGAAUUCCUGGUGUAGCGGUGAAAUGCGUAGAUAUCAGGAGGAACACCGGUGGUGCAGACGGCUCUCUGGACCGUAACUGACGCUGAGGCACGAAAGCGUGGGUAGCAAACAGGAUUAGAUACCCCGGUAGC
rnacentral:rRNA from 1 species